CUUCGGUCUUAUCUUCAACAAUGGCGAAUGGCUUGGCGUCGACCCUCCUCGUGCGCUUACUGUCAUCGUGUCUUCUCAGUUACAGAUUAUCAGUAAUGAUGAGCUGAAAGGUUGUAAGCAUCGUGUGGUGACAAAUUCGAGCGCUGCUCGCGUAUCAAUCGGGACGUUCAUCGGACCUUCCCUUGACGCUGUGGUGGAGCCUGCCGCGGCGGUGGUGAACGCCGCCGCCGCGGGAGCGGCGCCGGUGUUCUGGCCUGUUCGGUACAAGGAGUUUCUUCAACAUUACGCUUCAAACAAGACCGAGUCUGACGUCAUAGAUUUCUGCAAAAUUCAACCUUAAAGUCUGGGUUUUAAUCAUUUCAAUAACAAUGGACAAUGGCUGUUGAUCAUGUAAGGCUACUUUGUGUAAUGAAUUCUGCAGAAAUUUGAAAAUCU